rnacentral:rRNA from 1 species
GAUGAACGCUGGCGGCGUGCCUAAUACAUGCAAGUCGAGCGAACGGUCGAGAAGCUUGCUUUUCUGAUGUUAGCGGCGGACGGGUGAGUAACACGUGGAUAACCUACCUAUAAGACUGGGAUAACUUCGGGAAACCGGAGCUAAUACCGGAUAAUAUUUUGAACCGCAUGGUUCAAUAGUGAAAGACGGUCUUGCUGUCACUUAUAGAUCGAUCCGCGCUGCAUUAGCUAGUUGGUAAGGUAACGGCUUACCAAGGCAACGAUGCAUAGCCGACUUGAGAGGGUGAUCGGCCACACUGGAACUGAGACACGGUCCAGACUCCUACGGGAGGCAGCAGUAGGGAAUCUUCCGCAAUGGGCGAAAGCCUGAUGGAGCAACGCCGCGUGAGUGAUGAAGGUCUUCGGAUCGUAAAACUCUGUUAUUAGGGAAGAACAUAUGUGUAAGUAACUGUGCACAUCUUGACGGUACCUAACCAGAAAGCCACGGCUAACUACGUG